AGGAACCUGUCUCGUCGCCGCUGCCGCUCAUCCCAAAUCCUCCUCACUUUCCCAGCCAACCAACCAAAUCCACCUUCCCUUCCUCCUGAAGCACUCCACUCCUCUCGAUCCUUGCUCGCCUCGCAAGCCUCGUCGCGGGUCAACCGCACCGUUGCUCAUGGCCUGUACCAACCUCCUCCUCCGCCACCAAGUCCCACCGCCGCCAGUCAUCCUAUCUCCUUCCACCUCCGGAUUGCCCCUGAUCCAAACCCUCCAAUCACCCAUAGCUUCCAGAUCCGUCGCCACCAACCUUCUCCUAGUCUCCCGACCUAGCCACCCGGCUCUCAGUGCCGCCUCCCUCUUCUUGCCGAGCAUCCCCGCUCGAGGAGGAGCCCCGCUCACUCCUAGAUCGAUCCCCGCUCCCCUGCAGCUGAGCUGCUAGACCAGCCGCUCACCAAGAGCUAGCAGCAGCCCCGCUAUCAUCAGGCCAGGACCUCCUUGUCGCUCCUCUUCUCCCACUCCCCCUGUUUUUUCUUGUUGCCCCUGCCUCUCCCUAUGGCCUGAUCUCUUGCCACUGACCGGAACUGACAUGGCCGUCCUAAAGCCCCUGCCCCGAGCACCCCGCAAGAAGUAGCGAUAGUCCCGAACAGCGCCGCCCAUGGCCUUGUCUCUGGCCAGAACGAGUCGUCCCCAACCUCCACCUCGUCGCCCACGCCGCCGCCUUGCUCCGCCCUCGCCGUCCUCCUACCGAUGAGCAGCACUAGCAGGUCUUCCUCACUGCCCCUUCUCCCUUCCCCUUUCUCUUCUUCGGUGAGUCUUCCGCUAUCUCACCCGACCCCCUCUGUCGAUGUUCCCUGUUAUAGCGUCGACCACCUCCACGGGACCUUCUCCGGCCAUCCCUGUUGGUCGGCGGCCUCUCUUGCCCGUUGACUACGCCGCCGGAGCCCUGCCUUGCACCAUCUCCCCGUUGCCUGCGAGCUCGUGCUCGAGCCCUGCUUCUGUGGGCGUCCUCUGCAUUGACCACAUCCUGCUGACCAUGUUAACCCGCGACCUGGGCCGCAGCGUCGCCAGCCGCCUUCGCCAGCCCAGUCAGCCUCCUCUGCUCCGACCGGGCCUCAGCCCAUGGAUCUCUAGAGGACGGAUUUCUCCCCGCAAAAAAGGAAAGAGAAAAAAAAUGGAUUUCUUUCUUUCUUGCAGCUGAAUCUACCAAUAUCCAGUGGUCAACGGACAGGUUAGUAUGAGUAUCCUCAUAUGCUGUUAUGCCUCAUUUAACUUGUGCCCCAUCUAACUAUCUAUGCAUAUUAUAUUUACCUUUCUAUUCGUACAAUAUGAUGCCACUCUCUAUGAUUGAUUGAAAUAAUUGCAGUACUGCCUGUUGUUUUUGCCCUAUAUAUGUAGCAGGUUAGUUAGCAGGUUAAAAAUGCACAAACGAAACAGGAAUAUUGUUCAAGGUGCUGAUGCCUCCACAUCACAUUCUGGAUAUGAACACAUUAUGCCUAUCAGAUCACUUUCACAAAACUUCUUAUGCAGCAGAAUAAGCCAACCUAGUGAAACCGAAGUUCACUCGAUUAAUCCAGAGAACCUGCUUUAAUUUUGGGGGUGCAAAGAAUAGCAUCACUAAAGAAAAAAAAUCUAUAACUCGAUGCAGAGUUGGGGAAAGAGGGUAGGUAGGAAGGAGGGGACACUUGGAGAAGGGGGGAAGAUGAAUGUCAACCAUGCCCACCGGUGAAGGAUCUGCGGAAGUCUGGAGGGGAAUGGGGAAGGAGAACUGGAUGAUGGAGCCCAUGCUACCUGUAUGUGUAAUUCUACUGGUUUUAGUGCGUCUAACAUAUUCUUUAUCCUGCCAUUCAUUUAACAAAUUGCACAGCACGAAAAAUGAGUUCCUUAUCUCAGCCUAUAAUGUUCUUUUCCUGCAAUUUGAUGUCAAUAAAUCCAUUUUGACGCUUGCCCUGCUGAAAGUUACACCAUGAAAUAUAGAGGAUUUUAAUUGUGUCAGUAAGUUGUCAGAUUAUUAAACUUAUAAAGUUUUUUCUAUUAUUAUGCAUCUAUACAUGGGUACCUUGUGAAUUUAUGGUCGGAGCUGAGAGGAAGCUGAAAAUAGUAAACAAGUCAGCACAGGUUGGUUUUGAUGCAUUGCUUGCCAAUUUGAUACAUAUCGACAUACAGUACCAUGCUUGCUAUAUCGCACUGAUGGUCGAGCCCGGCCAUUGAAGCCCGACGACAGUGACAAUGGGAAGGAAAAUUUUUGGUUAGUCGGCCCUUCGUUAAUUUAUUCUAUGUGAUAAUAUUAGUCCGCACUAGGAUUUAGGCUGCAGUAAUUUCUUGAUAUAGAUGGAAUUAGCUAGGGGCAGCAAUCUCUUAUUUUAUCCUCACAAAAUGAUACCAGAAAUUAGACAUGCCAUGCUGAUUCUAUCAUUUCGAUUAAAUUUGUAACAGAUUGUGUUUGUGUUUGUGUAGUUAUGAAGAGUAAAAACAACGUAUAGAUUUUACAAGAUAGUUGGAUCAAGUAAAAAAAUGAAGGACCACAACAAACUAUUAAAAACAUUCAACAUAUUUGCUAUGUAUUAAUAAAUCUUUGUCUCAUAACAGUCCCUUUGGUUACUACAUACUUGUCCAUAGGACUAUAGCAGUCUUUGUUUCAUACGAUUCCACCAUUGUUGUCCUCUACAACAAGAAAAGAAAGUUUUCUACGAUGUCUUUGGCUCUUCCUAUACAAAAUUCUAAUACAACUAUGCGCUUGCUGAAGAAGUAAAAUAUAAAUUUGUUUAUCUCUGGACCCAUAUGAUUUAUUAUUGGGACAAAUAGCAUAAGCAUAUUAACUAAUGGUAAUGUUACUCAGACUUAUAUGUUACUAAAAUGAUGCACACUUACCUUAUUUGGCCUGAUUUGUUCUUUUUUUGUGAAUUUUUGAAUUUUUUGAAUUAUUGAUUUAUAGUUUUAGUUGUGUAUUAGCAUCUAAGAUGGAAUCAAAAUAAAUUAAAUAAAGAAAAAUAUUUUUCUCAGUCUCGUGUGCUAUAUUCCCUAACUCUCUCACCCAUGCAGGUGGAUUUUACAAGUUUUCAUUCUGCUUGAUAGCACUGCAGUGCCAUAAUUUGAGACAUGCAUAGAAGGCCCUGUCUUCUUAGAUGGACUAUAUGUUUAUAUGCUCAUAGUUAGUGUAAUGUAUUGUAGUGAUCCGCAUGUUACGCAAAUUCAUGUCAAUAUUCAAGGAUACAUUGCACUUUUUUCUAACUGAAAUGUGAACUGAUCAUAUGACUGAUAUAUGCUAUUAGGAGGUAUAUAUAAAUCCUCACAUAUUUUUUGAUUCCGUAAUGUUAUUACUUCCAUUUUUGUUAUUUAUGUUUCUUCCGUGCGCCUAGCUAUGUAUAAUAUCUAAUUUUAACAAAUGUGAUGCUCGCCUGCAACACGUAGCAACAAUUACAACAUGCUAUUUAUGACCAUCAUCGCUAUGUGCUUCUGUGUUGCUAAGCUAUUUUGUUUCCAGAAAUUUUCACGGCGAUGCGACUUAGGGUGAUCAUGAAGUAACCAUAAGUUCCGGAUCUUCAGAAAAAGAUGAUCCAUUAGAUUUUCGUAGUUAACUAAUUAACAUAGCUGUUAUGCCAUUUUACCGUUCUGACAUCAAGAGUGUACAUACCCAUAUCAUGGUGAUUGGUAAAAACAAGUUACCCUUCUACUUAAGAUUUGUGGUUACUUUUGAUUAACACAUAAUAACAUACAUUUCUAUGUAUCCAUAUAUUUCUGAA